UGCUUAUUUCUCUCUGGAAUUUUUCAUUUAAUAUUUUCAGACCAGUUGACUGCAGGUAACUGAAACCGUGGAAAGGGACACUGCAGAUAAGGGGGACCACAGUAAAACAGUUCUCAUGGAAACAAAGUAAAGUCAGAAGUUGGAUUCAAGCUGGAAACAAAAUGGGUGGAACUGGUCAAUCCACUAGCCAAUACCACAAGCACGCUAGUCUGACGCACUGCUGUGCUAGGAGACCACACCGUCAAGAAGACAUCCUGGAGUCUUCCAAUGAGGACAGGGGCAGUGCACCAACAAGGAACGACAUUUUACGGACAAGCUAUAUUGACAUUCAAGAGCAAGGCUCCUGGCUCUGAGUUCAAGAUGGCAGAGUAGGAAGAUCCUCUCAUUGACACCAAAACUACAACUAUAUAUAGAACAGCUCUCUGAGAAUGACCUGAAGACUAGCAGAGCAGAUUUUCCACAGCUAUGGAUAUAAAGGAAAAGCCACAUUGAAACAGUGUUAGGAAGGAUUUUUGCUAUUUGAAGGAGUGGAUUAUGAGGGCAGUGACAACAACAAAGACAGUGAUAACAACUCGGGGGGUUUGCAUUGGAAUCUACCUCAGGAUCCUAGAGAGGAGCUGACUCAGCAGAGUGGAAAAAGCAGCAACGCCUGGCUAUACAUCAAAUCUCCAGAUAACCCACCCGUUCCCCCUA